CUACAUUGUGACUGACCGACAUCCACAAAUCCAAAAGUUUUUGAGAGAACGCAGCAUUACACAAUACUAUGAUGUGUGGCAUUUUGAAAAAGGUUUGUCAAAGAGACUAGCCCCUCUGGCAGAAAAAAAGGGCUGUGAGGUUUUAAAGAAAUGGUUGCGCUGUAUUAAAAAUCAUGUUUAUUGGUGCGCAAUAUCUUCAACUUUUGGACCUGAGAAGGUGGCCAAGUGGAACUCCUUGAUAAACCAUCUUCAAAAUGUGCAUGUCCAUGACGACCCUACAUUUUCCAAAUAUGAACAUCCGGACCAAGAGUCUAGAAUUUCAACGAAAUGGUUAACACCAGGGUCAAUGGUUUUACAUGAAGUAGAAAAAAUCUUAGUCAAUAAGAGAGCCCUCAGGGAUGUUGGGAAGCUAAGCCAUCACCAUCAAACAUCAUCAGUGGAGGCCUUCCAUAGCCUGAUUCUUCGAUUUGCACCCAAAAAUGUGGUCUUCCCAUUUAUUGGAAUGCUGUGCAGUUAUUUAAAGUAUUCUUUUAAUUGUGUAAAAUAAACUAGUAUUUACAUUUACAAUAAAUGUAUUGCCUGUUAUGAUUUUACAGAUUGUACCUUGCAACCAUGCAUUAUAAUGAAAAUGCAGACCGUGAGCAAGCGUAUUGCCUGUUAUGAUUUUACAGAUUGUACCUUGCAACCAUGCAUUAUAAUGAAAAUGCAGACCGUGAGCAAGCUGUAACAAAAGCAGGAGAGGCAAGGUUCAAGGUUGUGUUCCCAAAAUCUAAGAGAGGGGAAUGCAUCGCAAGGCCAGUAAAAACACAAUCGACAUACUUUUAUGGGGAUGACCUGAUCAGGCUUGUGUUUGGCGAGGUGCUUGAGGACCCAGCUCCAUUUCACGAGUUCGCCCUUACAUCUAAUCUGAUUGCGAAAGUAAGCAUAUUUUGGCGUGCUGUCCUGGGGAAGGGCUCAGGAUCCAGAGUGAGGCUCGAACUCCGAAUCCGAGGUAUGGCCCGAACCCGGAGAACUCCCCCAUCCCAAACUGGGAUAGAACAGAUUAGAGUGGCGAAUUGGGGUGGUGGAGGGAUAUCCGAAAACGAUCUCAAUAGACUGAGCUGAAGGAAAUCCCGAUUCCAUUGGACCUGGCAUCACAAUUUGAGAGGCCUUCUAAGGAGGACGUGAUUGAACGCCAUCUCACGCGCUUCAGUGUGAGGUGGUCGGAAGCCGACAUACUGACCAGCCUGAACGGGAAACUCCAAGCGGAUCCUUAGAACAACACACGACGGGAUGACAAGCCUAUUGUGUCGUCCUAGAUGGCUCCAACACCAGCUGACAAAGCUUCGAUACGCUGUGUAUCUGUAACCUCUGUAAGCAUUAAAAUGGACAAUUAUUCAGAGGGGAACAAUAAAGGAUAUAGUAUAUUAUAUUAUAAUUACUAAA